rnacentral:rRNA from 1 species
GAGUGAAGGGGGAAAAGCUCAAAUUUUAAAUCUCGCUAGGUUUUACCUGUCAGAAUUGUAAUUUGAAGAAGCGUUUUCGCGUCUCGGUUGGCCCAAAUCCUUUGGGAUAGGUAUCAUGGAGGGUGAGAAUCCCGUUCGGUUGACCUUAUGACGCUCUACGAUACGCUCUCUAAGAGUCGAGUUGUUUGGGAUUGCAGCUCAAAAUGGGAGGUAAAUUUCUCCUAAGGCUAAAUACCGGCGAGAGACCGAUAGCGAACAAGUACCGUGAGGGAAAGAUGAAAAGAACUUUGAAAAGAGAGUUAAAUAGUACGUGAAAUUGUUGAAAGGGAAACGCUUGAAGUCAGUCGUGCUGGCGCGAAAUCAACCCCACCAUUCAGAGGAAGCGGGUCGCAGCGAGCGUCAAAACCGCAGCGGCUUGUUUUCUCUCCAUGGCGUGGUGCACUUUCGAGUCGGCUGGUUAACAUCAAUUUCGGACGUCAUAAAAAGGCUGGAGGGAUGUGGCUCCUUCGGGAGUGUUAUAACCUUUAGCGGAAUGUGGCGGACGGGAUUGAGGAUUGCAACGAAUACCUUUAGGGCUGUUCCACCUGGCCUCUCGUUGGCAUCCUGGCGUCGACAGCUUGCUGACGUCGUUAGGACCCGCCUUCGAACAGGUUAGAGUGAGAGCAAAUUCGUUA